GGGGGCAUAGCUCAGUUGGGAGAGCAGCAGACUGAAGUUAUAGUUCGAAGGAUCGACUCUUCUAUUCUGAAGGUCCCGCGUUCAAUCCGCGGUGCCCCCA